rnacentral:rRNA from 1 species
AGCAGCCGCGGUAAUUCCAGCUCCAAUAGCGUAUAUUAAAGUUGUUGCAGUUAAAAAGCUCGUAGUUGAAUUUCGGGAUCAAGGAAUCGGUCAUGCCUUGGUAUGUACUGGUUUUAUUGGUUCUCACCUUCUAAAGAACCAUAAUGUCAUUCAUUUGAUGUUAUGGGGAAUUAGGACUGUUACCUUGAAAAAAUUAGAGUGUUUAAAGCAGGCUUACGCUUGAAUACAUUAGCAUGGAAUAAUGAAAUAGGACAUCAGAUUCUAUUUUGUUGGUUUCUAGGAUCGAUGUAAUGAUUAAUAGGGAUAGUUGGGGGCAUUAGUAUUCAAUUGUCAGAGGUGAAAUUCUUGGAUUUAUUGAAGACUAACUACUGCGAAAGCAUUUGCCAAGGAUGUUUUCAUUAAUCAAGAACGAAAGUUAGGGGAUCGAAGACGAUCAGAUACCGUCGUAGU